UACAGAGGGGGCAAGCGUUGUUCGGAAUCACUGGGCGUAAAGGGCGCGUAGGCGGCCGAUCAAGUCGGGGGUGAAAGCCUGUGGCUCAACCACAGAAUUGCCUUCGAUACUGUUUGGCUUGAGACCGGAAGAGGUUAGUGGAACUGCGAGUGUAGAGGUGAAAUUCGUAGAUAUUCGCAAGAACACCAGUGGCGAAGGCGGCUCACUGGCCCGAUACUGACGCUGAGGCACGAAAGCGUGGGGAGCAAACAGG
rnacentral:rRNA from 1 species